rnacentral:rRNA from 1 species
AAAACUUUCAACAAUGGAUCUCUUGGUUCCGGCAUCGAUGAAGAACGCAGCGAAAUGCGAUAACUAGUGUGAAUUGCAGAAUUCCGUGAAUCAUCGAGUCUUUGAACGCACAUUGCGCCCCCUGGUAUUCCGGGGGGCAUGCCUGUCCGAGCGUCAUUG